rnacentral:lncRNA from 1 species
GUAAAAUGGUAAAACUGUAUCCACAAGUAGCAGGAAACACUUUGGGGGCGCAUAAGAAAUUUUUUAAAAAACUGAAACGAAGAGGGGCAAAAAAAACAACAAAAAUUCAAAAGAGUGACGCCAUUAUCGUCUUCUGUCCCAUUGCCAGUCGUUAUGAGACCGACGUUAAAGCAGCGCUAUCCAACCUCCCAGUAAAAUUAGAGAAACAGAAAGUGGUGCUGGUGGCAAUGCAUCACACAUUCGACCCAAACUACACGUUACCGAGCUGCAGACAGCUGGACACCGAUGCAGACCUUCUCGUGGACUGUCUGUUUUACGAGAAGAAGGGACUUUUGAAAUGUGAACGCAAUAAAAGUGCAAUCAAGACCAUCUGCAAAGAGUUGAACAUAAUGACACCUUUAAAGAAACUUGUGAAACGAUAAUGAGUCCGAGAAGUAAAGAAACCCGUACAAGCAAGAUGAAUUCAGCAGAUGGCUUCACUCACUUCCAUUCAUUUGAGUUCUGGUCAUCUACAGAAUCAUGCAACUUGUUCAUGACACAGAGACAAUAGAUCAAAAUGUCACAGGUAAAGUCUACUGGAUUAUUAUCUACACUGUUAUUAUUGUUACACUUUGUUUGGUAGCCGACCCAUAAAGCUUUUGUCCCUAUUGUCCACUGUAUUUCUUAUGUAUUAUAAGUAUAAUCGAAUCGAAUAUAUAUUCUUUUUUUUUAUUACAGCAACAGAUUUUUAUUCUUCACAUGCUGAGGUGUGCAGGUUCUGCUAAUGCAUCAUCUUGGUGCCAUGUUGGACAUUUAUCAAAUAUAUGAAAUCAUUUAUUUAUGUGCUGACCCGUGCAUUUCCAUGUCAUGUGUCUGGGUGCACACCUGCAUGUGACCCUGUGACCCUGGUUAAAAGAUGAGUAAUCAGUUGUGUGAUGGUGAUGACACUGUGAUCUUGAAGGGGGGGUGAGGAUCAUGGAGUGAGGAAGAGGAUGGGGUCUGAAUCAUAGGAAGCUGUUUGAGCGAUCCUCAAAAUAAAAUCCACAAUGAAAAUACUAUUUUAGCUUAU